rnacentral:lncRNA from 1 species
UAUAUUUUCAGUAGUGCCUUAUUUUCUUUUUUAUUUCAUAGCUUAUAGCUGACCAUUUUCCAGGCUGAUUUGUUACAGACAACCAUUUCCCAGGAAUUCCAUUUUGUAGCCCUGAACCAGAUCAGGAAGUGAUAAAACAGAAUCCAGAUGCCAACCAGCCGUGCCCAUGAGAAAUCAAUCAUAGACGAGAGAAGGUCUGAACACCAAGAACAGUUCCUCAGUUCAGGAAUCUGCUCAACCAAUAGUUGACCAUUCAACUCCCCUUGGAAA